AUUGCGCCCUAAGUCCAGUCUCGCCCAGGUGUGGCAGGAGCUUUUACCUGCUCUUCGGCAGUAGCCGGCUGCCACUCAACCCCAUGCCUGGUGAGUGGAAAGCCAUCAACCUUUUAUUUAGUCCCUCUCUCGUUGUCGCCUGGGGAGGGGCGACUUUGUACAGUGAGGCACUGGGGUCCGGCACCAUAGUGGGAGUUGGGGUUGUUUACGCGACACUUCUAAGGGGAUUUUCACAAUCGGUUAAGCCCCCGUUAAUCCUCACAUGGUUAUUGCGGCGACCCCCAUAGCCCACGGUCCCAAACGUGUGCAUCUGAAUCAUCCGAAGCUCUUUCUAAAGGCAGGCUCCCCUGGCCGCCUCUCCUAAUCCGACUCGGUACUUCACGGGGCGUGCCUAGAAUCUGCAUUUUAGCAAGGGCCUCGCGUGGACAGAAUUGCACGCUUGAGUUUGAGAAGUACUGCUUGGCCUCUGCCCCACUUACCCUUACCUUCUUGAGAUGAGGUAAAGCACUUGGUAGGCACUAGGCGGGUAGGUUUAUCUUUGCUCCCAAGUCUCUUCCGAGAACUUGGGAAGGCUGCCUAGCUUAGUGAGGGAAUCCAUUCUGGCUUCAGACCAGUCUGGGUUUGAAACCUACACAUCCCACUAACUUAGGCAGGGUACCGAAACUCCCUGAGCUUCAUGUCCUCAUCAGUAAAACGAGGUUAAUCACACCUACACCUUAGCGCGAUGGCUUAAAAAAAAAAAAAAAAAAAACAAACAAAAAAAAACAUAGUCCAUCAAGAGAAAUACAUUUUGCAUACAGACCAGUACACUGCUAUUUGUAUGAGAGUGUCAUAAAGUUUCCGAAAACAAUGCUUACUACUUGUGACGCACUGAUAGUUUCUAUGCUUAUCCUAUCCUAUCUUAUUCUCCUUCUUGUUGAUCAUGACUGGCAGUUUGAAAAACACUGCUAGAAAAGGUUGGUGUGAUAAUACAAAAUGCAGAGCAGAAUACCGGGUACACAGUAAUUGCUGAAUAAAUGUUAAUAGCCUCUUCCAGUCUUCUCCUCUCAGUGUUAGCCUUUGAAAAACAAGACUUUAGACAAUAAUACUCCUCUAGUAAAGAUCCUUCAUGGGAUCCGUAUCUCCUAGAUAAAGCCCAAACUCCUUUCUAGGCAAAGUCCUCCCACUCUUUUUUCUUCUUAACCUCAGCAUCCACCAGAGGACACACUCUUACUGGUGUAUCUUUCAUGCUUUAUCUCCUCCCUCUACCCCCGUUCCCUUCCUACAAAUCCUACCCUUUUCCCUCCAGGAAAGAUUCCAGGUUCCUAAACACUUACGCUUUUUUCCACUAGUUGACUUCCUAUGUGACCCUUCCCUUCUGGUAAACCCCUAUGCAUCCAUGGCCGGAUGUGUUGGCUCACACCUGUAUUCCUAGUGCUUUGGGAAGCCAGAGGCAGGCGGAUCACUUGAGCCCAGGAUUUCGAGACCCAGCUUGGGCAACAUGGCAAAACCCCAUCUCUACAAAAAAAAUUAGCUGCAUGUGGUGGUGCGCACUUUUAGUUCUAGCUACCUGGGAAGCUGAGGUGGGUGGAUCACUUGAGCCUGGGAGUUUGAACUUAAAAUGAGCUAUGAUCACACCACUGCACUCCAGCCUGGGUGACAGAGCGAGACCCUGUCUCUCAGAAAAAUAAAUAAACUCCUAUGCAUCCUUCAAGACCCUGCUCAAAGUCUGCAUACCUCACUCCUGCCCAGCCAUAGCUUCUUCCUCCUCUGUGCUGCCCUGGCACAUGCAAAAGAGCUUCUCUCUCACACACUAUUUCCACACUUUUAUUCUCACUUCUUACUCUCCUGCUAGACUGAGCUGUGGUAGAAGGAUUGAGGCCAGCACAGAGGAGGAUCAGCAGGAAAUGUAAGGUGAGUUAAAGAAUGAAUAUUUGCAUACAAUGACACCUGCAUGACUUGUUUGUAUAGUCCAUACAUUCUGUUCCCAGGCCAUUUUUCAAGUUUAGAUUGCUUCACUGUCAAACCAAGGACUCCACCCGGGUUCCAUGACUCACCUGUAUUAGGGUGCAGGGGUUUUGGGGGGAGGUAGGUGGGGUUGAAUAUCCUGCUGGGCCACUGUCAAACCUCUUCUGGGAGAAAAACGGGGUAGCUAUGCUUCUCCUAUCCUGGAGGCCCCAUCAUGAAGACCGCAGAGGUGAAAAAAAAAAAGUGUGCGCACACGGGGCGGAGGACAGGGUGUGAAUACUUGGAAGAAUUCUGCAGUAGUUUUGAAUUAUUUGAUUGGUUUUGCCCUUUUAAAGGUCACCUUAUCCUUGUUUUGUUUGUUUCUAGGCUGUCUGACUCUUCUUACUAGAGACACAGCCAAAGAAGGGAACCCUUUGUUUUUUUUUGUUGUUUUUUUUUGUUUCUUUCUUUCUUUUUUUUUUUUUUCCCCGAGAUGGAGUCUUGCUCUGUCACCCAGGCUGCAGUGCUGUGGCGUGAUCUCGGCUCACUGCAACCUCCGCCUCCCAGGUUCAAGCGAUUCUCAUGCCUCAGCCUCCUGAGUAGCUGGGAUUACAGACACGCACCACCACUCCCGGCUAAUUUUUGUAUUUUUAGUAGAGACAGGGUUUCACCAUGUUGGCCAGGCUGGUCUGAAACUCCUGACCUCAAGUGAUCCACCCACCUCAGUCUCCUAAAGUGCUGGGAUUGCAGGUGUGAGCCACUGCACCCGGAGGAAGGGGACACUUUCUAAGAAGAAGACCCCGUUAUACUUUUGUCAGGCCCAUUGGAGUCUUAGAGCUUCCUUCACAAACACCCCCGCUCCCCCAGUGACCACACAACUCCUCAGAGAUUUUUUCUUUCAAGAUGGCCCCUGUCUUCAACAGAGACGGAGAAGGUCAGGCAGCGGCUUGGAAAUGCUUGUGCUCUCCCGGCCACACUUUAUUUAUUUAUUUAUUUAGAGACGGAGACUUGCUCCGUCGCCCAGGCUGGAGUACAGGGGCACUAUCUCAGCUCACUGCAACCUCUUCCUCCCGGGUUCAAGCGAUUCUCCUGCCUCAGUUUCCUGAGUAGCUGGGAUUACAGACGCGCGCCACUACGCCCGGCUAUUUUUUGUAUUUUUAGUAGAGACGGGGUUUCACUGUGUUGGUCUGGCUGGUCUCAAACUCCUGACCUCACGAUCUGCCCGCCUCGGCCUCCCGAAGUGCUGGGAUUACAGGUGUGAGCCACUGUGCCCCGCCUUUAUUUUUAUUAUUAUUUUUGAGACAGGGUCUCUGCAGCCUCAACCUCCUGGGCCCAAGUGAUCCUCCCGCCUCAGCCUCUCAAGUAGCUGGGACUACAGGUGCGCGCCACCAUGCCCACCUAAUUUUUAAAUUUUUUGUAGAGCUGGGGUCUCCCUAUGUUGCCCAGGCUAGUCUCAAACUCCUGAGCUCUAGCGAUCCUCCCACCUCAGCCUCCCAAAGUGCUAGGGUUACAGGCGUGAGCCACUGCACCCGGCCAUGGCCACACGUGAGACUCACUAAAAGAGCUUUUAGUAAAUUCUGAAGUCUGGGUCCCAUCCUAGGAAAUUAGAAUCUCUGGGGGGCAUCAGCAUUAAGGAGUUCCUCAGGUGAUUCCAAUGGGCAGCCAAAUGUGGAGAAGGACUCCUUAGCCCAAAGAUACCUUCCCACUGGGGGUGCCCAAGUAAAAACAAGGAAAAGUCUGUGCCCUCCACCCCCACCCACUCCUGUCCCUCGCCUUUCUGAAUUUCUCCUCUUCCUACCCUACCUGCUGCCAUCUUCGCAGAGCCAGGGCCAGUGGGUGGUUCUGGCUGUGUCUGUCAACCUUAACCAGGGGCGACAUCUCCUCCCUGGUGUGUCUGGAGGCAGGUUCUCUCAGUGAUAUUUCCCUUUUGUCUCCAACUGCUUUCAGUUUCUUUCUACUCUACAUUGUCACUUUCUCUCCAUUUCUAACUUGCAAAGCUACACAUUCUCCACC
ensembl:lncRNA SP2-DT SP2 divergent transcript